UACGGAGGAUGCGAGCGUUAUCCGGAUUUAUUGGGUUUAAAGGGUGCGCAGGCGGCACGGCAAGCCGGCGGUCAAAUCGCGGGGCUCAACCCUGCCCAGCCGUCGGAACUGCCGGGCUAGAGUGGGCGAGAAGUGCGCGGAAUGCGUGGUGUAGCGGUGAAAUGCAUAGAUAUCACGCAGAACUCCGAUUGCGAAGGCAGCGCACCGGCGCCCUACUGACGCUCAGGCACGAAAGCGUGGGUAUCGAACAGG
rnacentral:rRNA from 1 species